GGCCCUAUAGCUCAGCGGUAGAGCGUUGGCUUCCAGUCUUAAUUGGGAAUUUCCAAAGGUCAUCCGUUCAAAUCGGGUUGGGGUCA
rnacentral:tRNA from 2 species